UACGAAGGGUGCAAGCGUUGUUCGGAAUCAUUGGGCGUAAAGCGCGCGCAGGCGGAUCAGUAAGUCAGAUGUGAAAUCUCGGAGCUCAACUCCGAAACUGCGUCUGAAACUACUAGUCUAGAAUGUCGGAGGGGGUAGGGGAAUUUCACGUGUAGGGGUAAAAUCCGUAGAGAUGUGAAGGAACACCGGAGGCGAAGGCGCCUACCUGGACGACUAUUGACGCUGAGGCGCGAAAGCGUGGGGAGCAAACAGG
rnacentral:rRNA from 1 species